UUAAAUUGCUAGCAUCGAGUAGUAUCUCGAUUCUACCAACGCGCUUUCUGACUAGAACUGUUAGCUAGCUAUAGCUACAGUUCAAGGCAGUUCAAUUAGUUGCUGUGUUCAUAACACAACGUUUAUUUUCUUUUGUGAAGUGGAGCAGAGCGGAGUGCUUGAGACAAAUUAACAAAAUAUUAACAACAACAAGAAAACUAAAUCAAAACACUGAAAGUGUGCGAAAAAAGUGAAUAGUAUUCUGCCAACAACUGAGCGAAUAAGUGAGUGUUGUUUUGUGUUGUCAAAACAGAAGAAGAAAAUAAGAGGACUUUGAAAGAAAGUGAGAAGAGAAAGUAGUAAAUCAGCUGUUUUAUAAAAACGGAAGUUUG